rnacentral:lncRNA from 1 species
GUUUCAUUGCCAACUAUGAGGAUGAAGCAGCUUCAUGGCCGGAGAUCGGGCGCCUCCCAUCAGUUUCCCUUUUCAGCAAUAGAGGCCUUGGAGGCCUUUCUACCUGCGUUGCAUCCUGUGGCUGGACCACUCCAACGAUCUCGGCAGAAUCGUUACACAGGAAGAAGUCUGGCUGGCCCCAAGCCUGGUGCAAAAUGAAGAAAUGGCACUCCACAUCAAUUCAUGUUUACUUGUCGUCAUAACCAGUCUGUUAGCUUAAUUUUUGGUUCUUCCUAUUGAAUUCUCAAGAAAGGUACCAACUCUGUCAUUCAUUGAAAACAAAUUUUUGCACUUGGGGAUGCAGCCAUGCACAAAGCCUU